CUGGUUUACACUAUCAAAGUUUAUGUGAUCACAGUAGGAAUUUUGCAUUGGUAAAUUCUAAGUUUUGAAGGAUUUGUAAGAACUGUUUGAGGGAACUGACUAUAAUUGAUUUAUAAUUUAAUUUCUCAGCUUUAUUGGACAAAGAUAGUAGAAACAUUUACAAGUUUAAGUCCAAAGGGGAUAGCGCAAACGGGACAACGAGACCCAUGCUAGGCGCACCCCCUCCAAAAAAGAGAGGGGGAAAAAUCCAACCUAAUUUACUAUACAAAUAUAUAUUACAUAACAUGCAUAUUAAGAACGGUGGCAGGGGCAGUCUCUUGUGAGCGACCAAGUGCAUGCCAUAUCAACAUUAAAAGUACUCUUGACCAACGCGGUGUAUGUCACAUGCAGAAAGCUUUUAAAAAUUGUUAAUAAUGGUUUAAUAUAAUGGUUUAAUACUAAGUCAGUUUCCUCAAACAUUUCUUACAAAUCCUUCAAAACUUAGAAUUUACCCAUGCAAAAUUCCUACUGUGAUCACAGAAACCACGUGCAGAAACUUUGAAAUGUUGGUUGAAAAGUUUGAAUAAAUUCAAACAUGAUCCAAAAUCAGUC